rnacentral:rRNA from 1 species
GAUGAACGCUGGCGGCGUGCCUAAUACAUGCAAGUCGAGCGAACGGACGAGAAGCUUGCUUCUCUGAUGUUAGCGGCGGACGGGUGAGUAACACGUGGAUAACCUACCUAUAAGACUGGGAUAACUUCGGGAAACCGGAGCUAAUACCGGAUAAUAUUUUGAACCGCGUGGUUCAAAAGUGAAAGACGGUCUUGCUGUCACUUAUAGAUGGAUCCGCGCUGCAUUAGCUAGUUGGUAAGGUAACGGCUUACCAAGGCAACGAUGCAUAGCCGACCUGAGAGGGUGAUCGGCCACACUGGAACUGAGACACGGUCCAGACUCCUACGGGAGGCAGCAGUAGGGAAUCUUCCGCAAAGGGCGAAAGCCUGACGGAGCAACGCCGCGUGAGUGAUGAAGGUCUUCGGAUCGUAAAACUCUGUUAUUAGGGAAGAACAUAUGUGUAAGUAACUGUGCACAUCUUGACGGUACCUAAUCAGAAAGCCACGGCUAACUACGUG